AGUGUUUUUACAAUGGUGAAAAUUUGACACUUCUCCGGUGCGCAUGCAUCGAAAAGUCUGUUAUGAAUGAUUAUAAAUUAAUACCGCGAAUAUAGAUGUGAUAUCUUCGCAUAUUAUUUUAUUAUUCUGUACACAUAAAUACGUAGUUCUUAACCAAAAACGACUUAUUUAUGUCUAAUUAUGUCAAAUAUAUCAUUAUUCAAAACAAAUACCAGUAUCAGCACUCGGUUUAAUACUCGUAGCGCCAUCGAAAUCAAAUAUAAAUAUAAUUGGGUUGCUUCGUUAGAUUUUUAUUUAUAAUAUUAAAAAACACCCAAACAGUACUUCUUUUUUGCUUUCUAAAGAAUCUAACGAAUACGUUCUACAAUUCCAAACUUUAAAUCCAUACGAGUAAAUUGGAAUUGAAAGCAAAAAGGAAAAGGUUCAGAAAUACUCUGUUAUAAUUUGAAAUCCAUGCAAUUUCUUAUUGUUUAAUUUUAUUACUCAAGUCCAAUCAACGUUACAAUACGUUUUAAGUAUAGACAUUUUUCAACAAAAAGAUAUACAAGUACACUGUCUGUACACGUAUCACAGAGUAAAUACAGUUGCAUUUAUUCAGAGGCUAUUGGUUACAAUUAUAAUGCACCUGUAAUAAGGACAAACCUAUUCUUGUUUCUUCUUCAUACUCCUCGAUUUCAUGUUCACAAUUUAAACUUCAAAUCAACAUACAUUUCUAUUAAAUUAGACAUUAAUUAUUUAAAUAAAACUAUGACACUAUAAAGCAUGGUAUAUUUAGAGAAUUAAAGAUGAGAACAUGUGGUGAGUAAAAUGGUCAAAAUUUCAGAAAAGAAUUAAACUUAAAUUUCUACAGUACCAUACGUAUGUAACAGUUUAUUAUACAUAUAGGUAAUUUCUAUAACAUUUUAAUGCAAGCUUGAAGUAUUAACUAUAAUUCAAAUAAUGGCUGACAUUUGAAAACUUCAUUAGGUAUGUAUGUAUGCAAGAGCAUUAUUCUACAUAUAAGAAUAUCUACAUGAGUGUUAUUACAAAUAGAGUUACAAGUUUCAAUAUCCAUGGAUGUGGAUGCGAUGGUAUUCCAGAAGUCCUUGUACAUAACAAAGAGUAGGUGGUACAUUGUAAUUGUCAAAUCUUCAUCAGUUGCUAUAAAAUUGUAAUUGUUGACUGUUACAGGCAAAGAAGAAAAAAGUAUAAAUUAUACUUCACUUUAAUACAAAUAGAGCUCAACAAUAUUUAUCAACUAUUCCAAAGACUAAGUAUGCCAUCCUCUGCAGCUAUGGACAUUACACUGCUAUGUUUGACAUUUUCAGCAACAAUGAUGAAUGAAUUCAAUGGCAGAAGAGGAUCUUUCAUGCUACUUUGUAAUCAUCCAUUAUUAAUAUGUUGUGUCAUCAAUUUAAGGUCCUAUUUUAACCUACAAAUGGAUUGCUUUUGAAAAAUAUGUUAAGCUGAAGAAAUUGCAUGAUGGCCAGACGCGAGAAGAAAUAUCAAGGACAAAGGCUGGUCGUGUCAAGGUCAAUUUAAGGUCACUUCUAUUCUUUUUAAACGGCACUUUGCAUAUUACUCAUCGCAAAAGUCAAAGUACAGUCAGACCACAUGACGUGUGAUUUUAUUAAUUUUAGAAACAAAUAAUGAAACUUAAUUGAUCCCUAGAAUAAAUAUUGCUUGUUAAUUUAUUGCGAAUACUACACUGUAUGGUCUCUUUAAUAGAUGAUCUUUUAAGUUCCAGAGACAUAUAGAAUACAAGUAAAUGUAAAUAACUUAAUACUACUGCCAUGCAUUCAAUCUUUUCAACUCAAUGUUUUCUGCAAGUGCCAUUUACAGAUUAAAAUAAUGCAACUAUUUCAUUGAAAAAUAUUAAUCUUGUCAAAACUGUUACAACUGGAUUUUAAAUACAAAAAGAAGGAUUUAACAAGAAUAUAGCUUUGCAUUAAUUCAAAAAUAAAGUUUCGACGUUGUUCAUAUUCUAUCCUCCAAUUAACAUUUUACUAAUAAUUUUAAGGCCUACCAUUAUUCCUAUGAGCGUAUUACAAACAUUUUACAAACCCAAAUGCGGAUCACUGGAAUUCGUUGAUCUGCCAGUGUCCAAUGUCUGAAACUUUAAUCUAUAAAGCAAUGAAACACUUAAAAAUGUUCUUAACACUAAACGAAAUGUUGUAAUACACGGACAUCAAAUGGUUUCGAAAAAUAACAUUCAACAUUGCUAAUUGAAAACAAUAAUUUUACAAGAUCUAUAAACAUAUAUAUCCUUCAACCGCUGUGCUUUUCUGAUUUUGUACAACUUCAAAACUGCUUUAAAGUGGAUGGUGCAUAAAAAUUCAAAAUUAUUAGCUAGAACUGGCUAUUCUAUAUUCUAGCGUCUCUCGAUUAUUAUUAAUUUUGGUCUAACAAAGCUUUUCAUUAUUUUCAUAGAAGACAAUGACUAAUGGUAUACAGUGUACAACACAUAAUCGGAACAAUCUUAGAUGCGUUAUUAACUCGUUAGAUAAUAACAUAUUUAUGUAUAGUACAGUCUUGCAAAAAAUAAUAAAUUUUCUGUUCGCCGUUUUUAAAAAAUAAACCAUCUGUUCUCUUAAAAUUUCACUUAUCCUUUGGAAGAAAAAUACGUAUGUACUCCAAGGAAUAUUCUACACCUUACUUCGUGGCGUUUUUCUUUGUGCAUGUUCAAUGCGAUUAAAAAAGUAGAAGUUUUUGAAGGAAGUCAGUUUUAUAAAAGGAACGCGUAUAAAAUCAAUUAAAAAUUUUUGUUUAAAAACAAAUACUCAAAAAUUGGAUGGAACGAUAAGGUACCUCGCAUAUUGUGUUCAAGAUAGACAAAUCGUAUUCAACAGUUCGUUUUGUUUGUUAAUUAUGAACCUAUUUCCUUAGCUGUACAAAUAAGCGAAAAUAUAUGCCAAUGCGUGGUAAUGUUUAGUUUUUUUUUCGUUCAAAUAGCGCGAAUCAAUUAUGAAAAAAUAUUAUCGAAGAUUACAAAUGAAGAAUUCCGCGAUUAUUAAAAAAAUUAGGAACCUGUUUCGCUUUUUUCCAAGGAUUCCAAUUUUAUAUGGAACUUGUCUUUUCAUCGUGACUCCAGUUUAUCGUUUUUUGUUUGCUAAUUUGCCCUUAGUCGUUGGUCAGCAACGCACGAUUGUCAGUAAUAACUACUUUUUGUUCGGUUUAUUGUGUAAAUAUUUUCAACUUUUAAUGUCCUUACGUUCGAAUUAAUUAACACAGUACCGAGUGUCCGUAGAAUAUACCCUCAGCUCUUGUGCAUUAGUUUCCUUUGUGUCGAUGAAUUAAAUGUCUAAUAAUUAAUCACAAUACUUUAUAUAGUUUUAUAUAUUUUACAUUGGCGAAAUUUAAGAAGGUUUUUAGAAUUUUAUGAAGCUACUCGAAAUUGGAAGUGAAGAACUGAGGAGUUCUUUGUUAUUUUUCAACGCAUUGAUUUCGAAAUAUGCACAGAAUGUGUUAUAAAAUUAAAAACUAGUGAUUAAUGUUAUCUUCUGUAAAAUAAAAUGAAUUAGCAAUUAUUUUGCUACGAAUUUCAUAUAUAGAGAGCUUUUCUCUCUUAAAGUUCCCCAAUGUUCAUGUCUUCUAACAUUUUACACACAUGAAGGAAUAACAAAGACCUCGGUUUGAGGGUGUCUCUACCCUUGUGUGUACAUACAAUUGAAAAGAUUGGUCUAGGUCUGUAACACUCCAGCGUAAACGAAAGUAUUACAUUUUUCAGAGAUCUUGUGAACUACAAAAAUUAUAAAAAAGAAGCGAAACUAAUUUGUUCUACAUAAUGUGUUAUGUACAAGAGAGUUUACGCCAUUUUCUUGUGUAGUGGAAGCAUUUUAUAAGCAAAAAUUGAUAUUGAGCAACACAAAUGUUUAGAAAAUUGUGAUUUAAAAAUAUUACAAAAAAGUUUAUUUUACAACUGUUUAUAAAAUGUAAUACUUUCAUAUGUAUGUAUAAUCUAUAUAAAUAGGCAGAAAGUUAAAUACACAUAUAGGUACACUCAUAUACAUGUUAUUUACAAAAUUUACGGGCACCCGGUAGAUUUUGCGCAAAUUCUCUAACAUUAAAGACUUCAACUGGUUCAUAGGUUAAAUAUUUCACUCUCCUAAUAAUUUUCGUUAAAUACUUUCGUCAUCGUGGUCUCUGAUUGUUGUUUUUUUUUCUUUUCUAAUGAGUAGCGUUCAUUUAUAUUAAUUAAUACUUAUUAGGCCUAAUAUAUUGCAUUUCUUAAGAUUCAAUGCAACAAACAGUUAAGAUAUUCUUGAGUCUAAAAUAAGAAACUUUACGUUUCAUCUGAUCUUUAAGCAUUCAAUGUAUUUUAUUUUGAAAACUGAAACAGGAUAAUUUUACGUUAAAUAAAAAUCACCCUAUUUUAGAGUUCCAAAUACUUCUUCUCUUAAUUGCAUUAAAUCUCAAGAAACAUUCUUAUUUAUCUAUUUAUUUAUUCUAUUAUAUCUAUAUAUUUUCGAAAAGCAAAUAGUUUGAUUUCGUAUUAAAAAAAAAAUCACAUCUUUCUUGAAAACGCAUUUUAACAUUUCGAAGUAUGAUCAAUUAUUGUUAAUAAUUCUUGAAAAUACAUUAAAAUAAGUAUCGAUUAAGUAUAAAUACUAAAUGGCAAGAGAUUCAUAAAUUUAGAAUGCAACAGGUGUUUUAUAUAAUACCAAAUAAAUAACAUUAUCGUAUUAUCUUUUUUUUUUAAUACAAAAUCGUAGUACACUAUCUUUCUUUUCGUUAUAUGCUCCUACGAUAAAGAUUCGAAAAAUAGUGUCGUAACAGCUUAAUAUUAUUUGUUAUUUAAUUAUAAUGAGUAUUCUUUUUAUCGACAAACAAUAGUUUUGGUUACACUGAGAUCGCAUCCAACGAAGAUGAUGCUCUUUUUGCACAUAUUAGUGUCGUUAUAUAGUUAUCAUCUCGAGUAUGCAUCAUCAAAAAGGAAGAAUAGGAUUCUCCUUUCUUAUUCAGUAUCUCUUAUGUCGCUGGAUCCAUCGACAAUCACAUAAAUAAAUAUUUUCUUAAAUACAUCCAACUUCACUAUAUUAGCUUUGCUAAUAGUUCUUUGGCGUAAAGAAAAUAGUGUUAAUUCAAAUUACCUUAUAAAGUAUUACUUUACCGGCAGCUGGGUUCGUCGAUAAAUAUUAUAUACAAAUUAAAUUUAAAUCAAACUGAACACUUUGUACUGCCAUUAAUGAAAAGAAUUUUCAGCUGCGAGUAAUUAAAAGAAUCAUUUCCACUUUAUUUAUGAACAGCCUUAUUAUAUUUAAAAUUCGUCGAAAAUAAAAUGAUGAUAAUGUAAUUAAAAUAAGUUAACUAUAUUUAAUUCCUAAUCGUAUUUAAGUUGCAUGCUGGCAAUUAUAGAAUUACUUAUCCGUUUGAUCAAUUGUACAUAUGUAUUUUCUAUACAAGUCUUCAUCCAGGUACACAUACAUUCUAAUUAACAAGAGCUGAGUAACUUUCACAACCUUUUAUAAAAAAAAUGUUUAGACAAUUUAAACGUAGUAAAAUGAUUAAACAUUAAGCAAGUUAAUGUUUGUAAAAUAUACAAUCUUGAAUAUUUAAGUUAUACUAUAUACAAUCAUUUUUGAAUCUUUAAUUAUUAUCAUGUUUCUCUUGGAAUUUGAAUGUACUACUAAUUAAUAUAUAUAUAAGAAUAACUACUUAAAUACCAAUUAGUACACACAUCAAUAAUUUAUAUUAAUAAAAUGUUCACUGUUAGGAGACUUCAUUACACACAGAAUCUAAUUUACUCAGCUCAUAUUAGGAAGUAUUAAAAUCAAUAUCAAAGCUAAUAAUAAUAGCAGCUUUCGGUAUGUGUUCCGUUUGUCUAUUCAAAAUAUCUCACGAAUCUUGCAUUAUUAAAACGAAAACAGAGGUCUACUCAACGCAAGUUGUACGAAUCAUACAACGUUGUUUAUAAUCUUUGAUUUAAAAAUAUUCAAUUUCACAUGUUUAACAAGAUAAAUGCUAAUACAUUCAACAGAUAAAUAUUUAUAAAUUCAUAAGGUGUGCUUUGUCUGACACACCUUCAACUUUUAUUUUAAAGCUUCUCUUUAUUCAACGUGUAACGUGUAUCUUGCCUGUUUACUUAGUUUUGGUGGUUUCAAUUCUAUCCUAUCAAUAUCAGAAGUCUAGAUGGUUUUGAUUUUCGUUUUUUGAUUGAAAUAAAUACUUCUCGAACAUUCUGUCUGGUACAGCUUCCAUUCUGUCUCAACAAUGGUAAAGAAACUACACUGGCGAUUUCUGUACCUUCUCGUUGCCAAUCCUUUCGCUAUCUCUUCUCCCAAUUUGUGUCGAAAAAGCAAGUCUCAAAGUAGCUGCCACGAGUACGAUUCUAUUCAAGAAUUUGAGCUCGACUUCAAAAGUACAAAAGUACUUGUUCCGAAAAUAACGGCUUGCAGUUCCUCAGCAA